rnacentral:rRNA from 1 species
AUGAAGAAGGGAAGGAAGAGGUGGCGGGAUCCUGCGCGGCUGGAUUGGUGCCCCGGUGGUGCUACUGCUGCCGUUGGACGCCGGUCGAAGGGACAAGUCCCUAGAGAAGGACAGGGUUCAAGUUGUUGGGCCGGUGGCAGGGGCAGCAUGAUGUUUUCGUCAGGUGUGGAUUGGAAUCAGUUUUUUUUGCUGCACCCCCAUUCCGACGAGGCCAAGCAACCUAGCUCGGUCAUCCUUAAGUGUGUUUGUGUCCACCACCUGAUGAAGAACGGGGAGAAGAUUGCUGACUUUGUGCCUAAUGAUGGUUGCCUGAACUUCGUAGAGCAAAUUGACGAGGUGUUGAUUGCUGAAUUUGGUCUUAAGAGGCACGUCGUGGGAAAUAUCCCUUGUGGCAGGUUCAAAGUUGUGAUGGUAUCUGGUGUCUCCCAGCGAGAUUUGUUCCUUCUCUUAACAGUUACUAUUAAGAACAAAUUUAUGUUUCCAUCAAAAAAGUUGGCCGGCCCCAGCAAAAAAAAGAACAGUUCCAGCAAAAAAAGAUCGCCGCCGUGGUCACAGGGAAAUAAGGAAGGGAAGAAACAAAUAGGGAACAAUCAGACGAAGCAUCAAGGAAAAUGGAUUGAACAAUCAGAUGAAGCAUCCAUCUCGAGGAGAAGCAUGGUCUGCAAGGAGACCAAUCAUCUUGAGGUGGUUCUUUCAGCUACUGCAUGUUCCAUUAUGGAGAAGGGUACUUAG